AUCGUUAACUGAAUACAUAGGUUAACGAGGCGAACCGGGGGAACUGAAACAUCUAAGUACCCCGAGGAAAAGAAAUCAACCGAGAUUCCCCCAGUAGCGGCGAGCGAACGGGGAGCAGCCCAGAGUCUGAAUCAGCUUGUGUGUUAGUGGAACGGUCUGGAAAGUCCGACGGUACAGGGUGAUAGUCCCGUACACCAAAAUGCACAGGUUGUGAACUCGAAGAGUAGGGCGGGACACGUGGUAUCCUGUCUGAAUAUGGGGGGACCAUCCUCCAAGGCUAAAUACUCCUGACUGACCGAUAGUGAACCAGUACC
rnacentral:rRNA from 1 species